UGGUGUUAGUUUUGUUUCUCUGUUUUACAGAAGUGACUCCUUGUGAGACAUCUUGAGAUUGAGGAAAAGUCCUCAGCCAAUCAUCUUCAAGUAUCUUUAACCAGAAGAUUCUAGUGUAUUACCUCACAGCUUCCAGUAGAACAUUUAUAUGACAGUAAUUAUGACUACAGAACAGUACUGGAACCAGACAUGUCUUACUGAUGUAUGCACAGUUAAGUUUCAAACCCAGGACAAGCUGCUGAGGUACCUACCUAAUACAUCAAAGCAGGCCUGGCCUCCAGAUUCUCCCAGCAUCCCUCAGUCCAAUUACAGGAUUACAUCUGCGUGCGUAAGAAGAGAAAUGGAUCGUUUUCUGUGCAUUCUUCCACAAGCAGUGAUGGGUGCCAGAUGUCACUAGUUCGUGAGAAUGCUUCUACACCCUCUGGGAGUCCCUUCACCCUGUCUACACUACUAAUAACAAUCAGUGUGCUAUGCAUUUCUCCUUAA